ACUCGCUUUUAAAAUCACGGGUGUUAUUUUUUUAUGCCACAGAUCAAAUAAUCUUGGUAGUGAUGCGCGUAUGUUGACAGUGUUCUCGGCCAGUUCCGAAGAUUGUAGUUUCGCUUUCGCGGAGUGUGUUAACUUCGUUUUGUUUUGGCGAUAGGUCUCUGGGUGGACUGUGUGACAAGUAUCGCCUCUUGAGUAUACCUGCAGCAGCGACGCGGCGAGAAUCGUCGCUGACGGACGUUUUUGCUAUUUCGGUGAAGACGCAUGCCGCCUUGUGCAGUAUCAAAAUGAGGACGGCUACAUUUCAGCAAGAUCAAGAACUGAGGUCAAGACGUUUGAAAAAUGACUCGCAACGUUCCAAAUUUUCGAGUGAUGGCACCGUCGUUGACCGGAGCCUCAACCUUCAAGGAAUUGUGACAAUGCUGAAAGAAGAUACGUGUAACAAGUCUGUAGGAGGCAUAAACUGUAGCAUCUGUGGGAAGCUGUACAAGAGCAAAGUGUGCUUUACCAAGCACAUAUGGGAACACUCUAUGUACUGGGACCUGUUUGACGACAUGAAGCACCAGGACCGUGUGUUAUCCAUCCAGGGAGCCCUCAUCCUCUAUAGCUUGCUGCAUCCUGGUGACCUAGCUGGUCUUUUGGUCACUGACCCACCACGACUGAGGCGGCGAGAACGACUUGAGAAAGCUGGCAUUCGCACACAGCCUUAGUUAGACGACUCCUUGUGUCCUUUUGUUGUGCUGCGUUAAUCUCACAGCUGGUCUCUGAGAGCUGAUGUUUGCUUGUUUCUGCUGAGCUGCUUGAUUCGGGCUUGCAUAUUUGUGGAUUCCUAUGUAAAAGGCACUUUGGUUUCACUCAGAAAUGUCUUCUAGACAUAGUCGAGGAUCAUGUUCAGCAGCUUCCUUUCAUUCUGGCUAGUGCAUUGGUUUGCUGUUAAGGUAUGAGCCCUGGUGUCUUUCAGGGAGUUACAUAAGAGCUGCUGAGGCAUAUAAGUUGCUUGUUUUAGUUUUUUCCUACUGUCAAUUGCUGUGGAAGAAAAAAGAGGCUACAGCUUUUAAUACUUCACCUAUACAACAUGUGUGGUGUUGUGGCAGUGUAACCUGCCUGACAGAACUUUUUUUUUUGCACAUACCUAGACGAAGCUGGGAUGAGUCACUAGACUUUCUUCUUCAUUUGGGCCUUUCAUUGUGGUGGCAGCAGCAGAAGCAAGUCUUAAUCACAAAAACCAUAGAAAACUUACUGUGCUGUGAAGCAGUUGACAUGAUUCAUACGAAGACCAUAAUUGUUUCGAUGAUGUGGGAAAGAGCAGCAGUAAGAAACCAGUUCGCAAGUAUUGAGUCUCUGAGCACUCGUGCGUUGUCAUAAAGUAUUAGCGUGGUGCCAGCAAAGUAUUAAAAUUUCCCUCGCAGGCUUUUUCUUUAAUUCUUUAAUGACCACAAUAUUGCAGUAUUGUUUUGGUCUCAGUCUACGUUUGGGAAUGUUUAUAACAAAUUACUCUUGAUGCCUUUAGUGUGCAGGAUGUUCUGUGUAAGUAACACCAAGCUUGAAAAGCAAGAAGAGAAACUGGUGCACCAUAGAAAGAUGAAACUGAGGCAGUUUUGUGGGUAACCAUUUUUACAUGUUCUAGUACCUUUAAGGCGAUGUGGUAGGGUAAAUGGGACAUCUUGGUUUCAGCUUUAUAUCUUAACAACUGUUCCAUAUUUUGUUGUGAAAUUUUGUGUGUCGAAGAAGAAUGCUUUUGGCCUUCACUUGGUGUAAUUUUUUUCACUGCAGCCUUUUUUUUUGUAUUUGAGAACCAAGCUUUAGGCUGGGGUGUAAAAUUAAAUGUACCUUUACUCAGAAGCAAGAAAUAGUAUGACUGUGACAUUUUGCACAGUAAUGAGAUAUUAUAGUGGCUUUAAUCCGAACCUGAAAGAAAUGGGCUCACACAUUCAUCUCACAAGAAAAAAAAAAUUACCCUCACUUGUCACAUUCCAUAAGAGACACUUUCCAAUUAUUUUUUUUUCUAGAAUUUUAACUCGCACAGUUUUUUCAGUGUUUUAGUUUCAGACUAUUUGCCAGGGAUUUCAGUAUUAUCUGAGAAAAUUUCAGCAUAAUCGGUCAGAUAGUUUUCCAGAAAAGGUACAUCAAGGUUCGAAAAAUGUCAAAAAAGUGAUAUUGAAAAAAAUGCAAUUUUAGGUUUGCUUAGAAAAGCAACGACUACACUUCAAUGUGCUACAAAAGCAUCCCUGGCGGGAAAAUUUACAAUCACAACUUAUGAAAAUGGCAGAAAUUGAAUAUCUUUAACCGAUCUAGCCAUAUUUAUUAUAAAAAAUACAUAGGCGCAGAAAAAAAUCAUAGAAAACAACAUGUGAACAAACCUUUAAAUACCAGGAUACGCUGUUUUGGGCGCGAUUUUUAAAUGGCUUCGUGCACUUCUGCGCACUCGCCACUGCACGGUUUUGCUCCAUAUAGUGUGUAUUAUUUUUUAGUAAUGAAAUCAAAACAUUCUUUUUUUAAGAUUUACCCUACCGUACCUCCUUAAUACAUUGGUUUUGAUACAUUAGUUUUGCCUUGUUUCACCUAACUACUGUUUCCACAAAGGUUGUCAAUAGUGGUAGUACUAAUUUGUAAACUGAAUGGCAACUAUGGGUCAAAGUGCAUAAUUUUUUGGAGGGGUGGGGGGACAGAUUUAACUGUAUUGCCCUCUUUCUUUCUUUUUUGCUGUGUUGUUUCACUACAGCACAAAGAAAAAGCCUUGAAAUUCAACUAGCCUAGUGGACCAGAUCACUAGGUGUGUUUUUUUCUUGUAAUUUCUUAAUCCCAGUGCUUCCCUAUUGUUGAUUAUGUUGCUUUUUAUCCACGAGUGAAAAGUUUUAUAUUAACCCUGUGGGUGUAUGCAAUGUUCACAUUGUUGUCGUAGGCACACAGUGAUGCCUUGAGACGUUCACAUCUAGAUUCCCAAGCAUUUAUUGGAAGGCAUUAACAGAGACAUACUAAUUUAAGAGAAUGCCUUGCACUGCAUUAAUGUAAUUCAUCAGCUUUGUUGUGCUGCAUUUUAAGCCUGGCAAGACUGGUCACCUCAAAAUGGGGACCUGAAAUUUUUAUCUGUAAACACCUGUACAUUGUAUCAUGAAAACCAGCUCAGGGUAAUGUAACAAUGUUACUUCAGUUCUUUUCCUUUUUGCACUUGGUAAGUGGUUCGAGUGGUGCUCCGCAUACGUUGUCGCCAUGACCGAUUAUGAGUGGUGGAUGAUAAAAAUGGAAUAGAAUCAAGGGAAAGAAAUUGUUACGUUAUACUGGC